GCCAGUCUGGCUUGGUGGUUUGAGCAUUGGACUAUGACUUUUGAGAUCAGGGUUCGAUUCCCUGCUCAGCCA